GGGUUUCAGAAGGGCUGUGUUGAUGCAGGGCUUCUAAGGAGCCAACCACCAGUCUCCUGUCUACGCUAGACUUGGGGCUUUUGCAUUUCUCCCCUUCCCUCCUGCCCCUCCUCCUCGGUCCACUUUGGUGGACAAGCAGCCAGUCGGAGGAGGUUUAAUGGGAGGUUAAGGAGAGAGAGCUCCGGAGGCUGCAGCAGGGGGAUAUACUAGCUGCUGGUGGACAGGCUCUGUCUACAUGUAGGUCACUCAAGAGGUGAGGACUGCCUGAUAUUUGCAAACCCACGCCCCCCUGCAAGGACACCAGGCUCUUGCAGGAAAUAGAUACUUACCCAUUUUGAAAGGCGGACGGGUCCUCCCAGGGUCUGAAGGGACACCUCUGUUGUUCAAAAGAUUGAGGCUGAGACCUAAGGAGGGUUUCCAUCCAGAUGCACAAAGGGGAAGCAGCGAUGGCCAUUCCAUCAACCUGGAUUUGAUAAAACUCACUAGGAGGCGUGGAUCUAGAUGGGCACUCAGGAGCAUGGCACACGUGCUGGCUGCGUUGUUGUCGAGCCACCUGCCUUGUCAUCUGGACUACUGACGUCUUCCCGUUGGUCGGGAUCAAAACUGACCAUUGCUAAGCCUCCCUGGCCUUCGGGAUGGGCCCAUCUCGCAGACCCCCUGCUGAGCCAGGCCUGCAGGGACUUCAUGCUGGUCCCAGCCCUGCCCUCCACCUUGGUGUCCUGCUCUGCCUCGCCAAAGAAUUCUGCAACAGAAUACCAGGCAUGUCUGCACGCCCCCGUCUGGAGCAGAGGCGGGGUGAGACACUCUGGUCUGUUAAAGAAUGUGUUAGGGGCCUGCCAUGGCAGAGUGGUUAAGUUCACGUGCUCCAAUUUGGAGGCCCAGGGUUUCACUGGUUCGAUCCUGGGCGUGGACAUGGCACUGCUCAUCAGGCCACGUUGAGGCUGCAUCCCACAUUCCACAACUAGAAGGACCCACAACUAAAAAUACAUACAACUGUAUACUGGGGGGAUUUGGGGAGAAAAAGCUGAGAGAAAGAGAAAAAAAGGAAGAUUGGCAACAGUUGUUAGCUCGGGUGCCAAUCUUUUAAAAAAAAAAAAGAUGGGGCCGCCCCGUGGCCAAGGCUUAAGUUCGUGUGCUCUGCUUUGGGUGGCUGGGGGUUUUGCUGGUUUGGAUCCUGGGUGCGGACAUGGCACUGCUCACCGAGCCAUUCUGGGGUGGCGUCCCACAUGCCACAACUAGAGGGACCCACAACUAACAGUA
rnacentral:lncRNA from 1 species